rnacentral:rRNA from 1 species
UUAUUGGAGAGUUUGAUCCUGGCUCAGGACGAACGCUGGCGGCGUGCUAAACACAUGCAAGUCGAGCGGUCCGGCCCUUCGGGGUACACGAGCGGCGAACGGGUGAGUAACACGUGGGUAACCUGCCCUGUACUCCGGGAUAAGCCUGGGAAACUGGGUCUAAUACCGCGUACGACCUUCCAUCGCAUGGGGUGGGGUGGAAAGUUCCGGCGGUAUGGGAUGGACCCGCGGCCUAUCAGCUUGUUGGUGGGGUGAUGGCCUACCAAGGCGACGACGGGUAGCCGGCCUGAGAGGGUGACCGGCCACACUGGGGGUGAGACACGGCCCAGACUCCUACGGGAGGCAGCAGUGGGGAAUAUUGCACAAUGGGAAAGCCUAAUGCAGCGACGCCGCGUGAGGGAUGACGGCCUUCGGGUUGUAAACCUCUUUCAGCAGGGACGAAGCGUGAGUGACGGUACCUGCAGAAGAAGCACCGGCUAACUACGUGCCAGCAGCCGCGGUUUAUACGUAGGGUGCGAGCGUUGUCCGGAAUUAUUGGGCGUAAAGAGCUCGUAGGCGGUUUGUUGCGUCGGCCGUGAAAACUUCACGCUUAACGUGGAGCCUGCGGUCGAUACGGGCAGACUUGAGUUCGGCAGGGGAGACUGGAAUUCCUGGUGUAUGCGGUGAAAUGCGCAGAUAUCAGGAGGAACACCGGUGGCGAAGGCGGGUCUCUGGGCCGAUACUGACGCUGAGGAGCGAAAGCGUGGGGAGCGAACAGGAUUAGAUACCCUGGUAGUCCACGCCGUAAACGGUGGGUGCUAGGUGUGGGGGGCUUCCACGUCCUCCGUGCCGCAGCUAACGCAUUAAGCACCCCGCCUGGGGAGUACGGCCGCAAGGCUAAAACUCAAAGGAAUUGACGGGGGCCCGCACAAGCGGCGGAGCAUGUGGAUUAAUUCGAUGCAACGCGAAGAACCUUACCUGGGCUUGACAUGCACCGGAAACCUCCAGAGAUGGCCCUCGGACUGGUGUACAGGUGAAGCAUGGCUGUCGUCAGCUCGUGUCGUGAGAUGUUGGGUUAAGUCCCGCAACGAGCGCAACCCUCGUUCCAUGUUGCCAGCGCGUAAUGGCGGGGACUCAUGGGAGACUGCCGGGGUCAACUCGGAGGAAGGUGGGGAUGACGUCAAGUCAUCAUGCCCCUUAUGUCCAGGGCUUCACACAUGCUACAAUGGCCGGUACAGAGGGCUGCUAAGCCGUGAGGUGGAGCGAAUCCCAGAAAGCCGGUCUCAGUUCGGAUCGGGGUCUGCAACUCGACCCCGUGAAGUCGGAGUCGCUAGUAAUCGCAGAUCAGCAACGCUGCGGUGAAUACGUUCCCGGGCCUUGUACACACCGCCCGUCAUGUCACGAAAGUCGGUAACACCCGAAGCCCGUGGCCCAACCCGUAAGGGCGGGAGCGGUCGAAGGUGGGACUGGCGAU